rnacentral:rRNA from 1 species
UACGAAGGGGGCUAGCGUUGUUCGGAAUUACUGGGCGUAAAGGGCGCGUAGGCGGCACGGCAAGUCGGGAGUGAAAGGCCUGGGCUCAACCGAGGAACUGCUUUCGAGACUGCCGAGCUAGAGUGCGGAAGGGGCAACUGGAAUUCCCAGUGUAGCGGUGAAAUGCGUAGAUAUUGGGAAGAACACCGGAGGCGAAGGCGGGUUGCUGGGCCGACACUGACGCUGAGGCGCGAAAGCCAGGGGAGCAAACGGG